AAUGAACGUUGGCGGCGUGGAUUAGGCAUGCAAGUCGAGCGAGAACCCCGCAAGGGGGGACAGCGGCAAACGGGGUAGUAAUGUGUCGGAACGUGCCCAGAGGACGGGGAUAGCGGCGGGAAACUGCCGGUAAUACCCGAUGAUCUCGAGAGAGCAAAGGUGUGAUUCCGCCUUUGGAGCGGCCGACAUGGUAUUAGCUAGUUGGCGGGGUAACGGCCCACCAAGGCUGUGAUGCCUAGGGGAUGUGAGAGCAUGAUCCCCACCAUUGGGACUGAGACACUGCCCAGACACCUACGGGUGGCUGCAGUCGAGAAUCUUCGUCAAUGGGCGAAAGCCUGAACGAGCGACGCCGCGUGUGGGAUGAAGGCCUUUGGGUUGUAAACCACUGUCGAGGGGGAUGAAGGCAUUCAGGUUCUCCUGAAUGUUUGACAGAGCCCCGGAGGAAGCACGGGCUAAGUUCGUGCCAGCCGCCGCUGUAAAAC
rnacentral:rRNA from 1 species